rnacentral:rRNA from 1 species
GAUGAACGCUGGCGGCGUGCUUAAUACAUGCAAGUCGAGCGAAGCGGGGACGGGUGAGUAACACGUGGCUAAACUCCUCUAAGACUGGGAUAACCUAGGGGAAACGGAGCUAAACCGGAUAAUUAUAGAAGGAUCCGCGCUGCAUUAGCUAGUUGGUAAGGUAACGGCUUACCAAGGCAACGAUGCAUAGCCGACCUGAGAGGGUGAUCGGCCACACUGGAACUGAGACACGGCCCAGACUCCUACGGGAGGCAGCAGUAGGGAAUCUUCCGCAAUGGGCGAAAGCCUGACGCAGCCACGCCGCGUGAGUGAUGAAGGUCUUCGGGUCGUAAAACUCUGUUAUUAGGGAAGCGGUACCUAAUCAGAAAGCCACGGCUAACUACGUGCCAGCCGCCGCGGUAAUAC